UGGCGGCGCGCUUAACACAUGCAAGUCGAGCGAGAACCAGCCCUUCGGGGCUGGGGAAAGCGGCGAACGGGUGAGUAACACGUGGGUAAUCUGCCCUCGGCACUAGGGAUAGCCCGGGGAAACCCGGAUUAAUAACCGGAUGGACUUUCGAGUCUUUGGACUCGUCAGAAAAGGUGGCUUCGGCUUCCGGCUGAGGAGGAGCCCGCGGCGGAUUAGCUUGUUGGUGGGGUAACGGCCUACCAAGGCGACGAUCCGUAGCUGGUCUGAGAGGACGAUCAGCCACACUGGGCACUGAGACACGGCCCAGACUCCUACGGGAGGCAGCAGUGGGGAAUCUUGCGCAAUGGGCGAAAGCCUGACGCAGCGACGCCGCGUGCGGGAAGAAGGCCUUCGGGUUGUAAACCGCUUUCAGGAGGGACGAAGCCACUCGGGUUAAUAGCCCAGAGGGUGACGGUACCUCCAGAAGAAGCCCCGGCUAACUACGUGCCAGCAGCCGCGGUAAUACGUAGGGGGCAAGCGUUGUCCGGAUUUAUUGGGCGUAAAGCGCGUGUAGGCGGCCAGGUAGGUCGGCUGUGAAAACUCGACGCUCAACCUCGAGAUGUCGGCCGAAACCAUCUGGCUAGAGUCCGGAAGAGGAGAGUGGAAUUCCCGG
rnacentral:rRNA from 1 species